CCUCAGCAGGCCGAUGGGCCUGCUCUGUGCGUGGUCACAGUUCCCUCUACCUUGCCGGUGCAGGGGGAGGGGGCGGCUCUGCCUCUCAGCAGGUCGCUGCUCCUCCUCUGCUGGUGGGUCGCAGGCCCGCCUACCUUGCAGGAGUGAUUGGAAGCUCUGUCCCGCCGCGGGCCGCUGGGCCUUUUCUGUCCGUGGUCACAGUUCCCCUACCUGGCAGGCGCGGGGGGUGGGGGGCGGCUCUGCCCCUCAGCAGGCCGCUGGGCCUGCUCUGUGCGUGGUCACAGUUCCCUCUACCUUGCCGGUGCAGGGGGAGGGGGCGGCUCUGCCUCUCAGCAGGUCGCUGCUCCUCUUCUGCAGGUGGGUCGCAGGCCCGCCUACCUUGCAGGAGUGAUUGGAAGCUCUGUCCCGCCGCGGGCCACUGGGCCUUUUCUGUCCGUGGUCACAGUUCCCCUACCUGGCAGGCG
rnacentral:lncRNA from 1 species